GGGUGGAGAGGCUACAGGGUCUCAGGACGAGCCUGGGUUCGGGAGCCUGGGAAAAGAAGAAGGAACCUUGUCAGCACCCCCAGCCCCAGAAUCACCUGGCUUAGGCUCAGAGACGGUGUGAAGAACACGUCCUUCUUGUUAAGGAAGAGCACGAUGGACGUGGUGGCGAAGUAGCGGUGGUUGCAGAUGCUGUUGAACAGCACCAUGUCAUAGGCGCUCAGCGCCGCGAUGAAGAUGAUGCAGGUCACCCCCUCGAAGCAGUGGAUCCACUUCUUGCGCUCCGAGCGCUGCCCGCCCACGUCGAACAUCCUGCGAGGCCGGUGGGGCCUGAACCCGCGCGA